rnacentral:rRNA from 1 species
UAGGGAAUUUUCGUCAAUGGGGGCGAACCCUGAACGAGCAAUGCCGCGUGAGCGAAGAAGGUCUUCGGAUUGUAAAAGCUCUGUUGCCGGGGAAAAAGGAA